rnacentral:rRNA from 1 species
AUUGAACGCUGGCGGCAGGCCUAACACAUGCAAGUCGAGCGGUAGCACAGAGAGCUUGCUCUCGGGUGACGAGCGGCGGACGGGUGAGUAAUGUCUGGGAAACUGCCCGAUGGAGGGGGAUAACUACUGGAAACGGUAGCUAAUACCGCAUAAUGUCGCAAGACCAAAGUGGGGGACCUUCGGGCCUCAUGCCAUCAGAUGUGCCCAGAUGGGAUUAGCUAGUAGGUGGGGUAAUGGCUCACCUAGGCGACGAUCCCUAGCUGGUCUGAGAGGAUGACCAGCCACACUGGAACUGAGACACGGUCCAGACUCCUACGGGAGGCAGCAGUGGGGAAUAUUGCACAAUGGGCGCAAGCCUGAUGCAGCCAUGCCGCGUGUGUGAAGAAGGCCUUCGGGUUGUAAAGCACUUUCAGCGGGGAGGAAGGCGAUAAGGUUAAUAACCUUGUCGAUUGACGUUACCCGCAGAAGAAGCACCGGCUAACUCCGUGCCAGCAGCCGCGGUAAUACGGAGGGUGCAAGCGUUAAUCGGAAUUACUGGGCGUAAAGCGCACGCAGGCGGUCUGUCAAGUCGGAUGUGAAAUCCCCGGGCUCAACCUGGGAACUGCAUUCGAAACUGGCAGGCUAGAGUCUUGUAGAGGGGGGUAGAAUUCCAGGUGUAGCGGUGAAAUGCGUAGAGAUCUGGAGGAAUACCGGUGGCGAAGGCGGCCCCCUGGACAAAGACUGACGCUCAGGUGCGAAAGCGUGGGGAGCAAACAGGAUUAGAUACCCUGGUAGUCCACGCCGUAAACGAUGUCGAUUUGGAGGUUGUGCCCUUGAGGCGUGGCUUCCGGAGCUAACGCGUUAAAUCGACCGCCUGGGGAGUACGGCCGCAAGGUUAAAACUCAAAUGAAUUGACGGGGGCCCGCACAAGCGGUGGAGCAUGUGGUUUAAUUCGAUGCAACGCGAAGAACCUUACCUGGUCUUGACAUCCACAGAACUUUCCAGAGAUGGAUUGGUGCCUUCGGGAACUGUGAGACAGGUGCUGCAUGGCUGUCGUCAGCUCGUGUUGUGAAAUGUUGGGUUAAGUCCCGCAACGAGCGCAACCCUUAUCCUUUGUUGCCAGCGGUCCGGCCGGGAACUCAAAGGAGACUGCCAGUGAUAAACUGGAGGAAGGUGGGGAUGACGUCAAGUCAUCAUGGCCCUUACGACCAGGGCUACACACGUGCUACAAUGGCAUAUACAAAGAGAAGCGACCUCGCGAGAGCAAGCGGACCUCAUAAAGUAUGUCGUAGUCCGGAUUGGAGUCUGCAACUCGACUCCAUGAAGUCGGAAUCGCUAGUAAUCGUAGAUCAGAAUGCUACGGUGAAUACGUUCCCGGGCCUUGUACACACCGCCCGUCACACCAUGGGAGUGGGUUGCAAAAGAAGUAGGUAGCUUAACCUUCGGGAGGGCGCUUACCACUUUGUGAUUCAUGACUGGGGUGA